GGACGAACGCGGGCGGCGUGCCUAAUACAUGCAAGUAGAACGCUGAAGAGAGGAGCUUGCUCUUCUUGGAUGAGUUGCGAACGGGUGAGUAACGCGUAGGUAACCUGCCUUGUAGCGGGGGAUAACUAUUGGAAACGAUAGCUAAUACCGCAUAACAAUGGAUGACUCAUGUCAUUUAUUUGAAAGGGGCAAAUGCUCCACUACAAGAUGGACCUGCGUUGUAUUAGCUAGUAGGUGAGGUAACGGCUCACCUAGGCGACGAUACAUAGCCGACCUGAGAGGGUGAUCGGCCACACUGGGACUGAGACACGGCCCAGACUCCUACGGGAGGCAGCAGUAGGGAAUCUUCGGCAAUGGGGGCAACCCUGACCGAGCAACGCCGCGUGAGUGAAGAAGGUUUUCGGAUCGUAAAGCUCUGUUGUAAGUCAAGAACGAGUGUGAGAGUGGAAAGUUCACACUGUGACGGUAGCUUACCAGAAAGGGACGGCUAACUACGUGCCAGCAGCCGCGGUAAUACGUAGGUCCCGAGCGUUGUCCGGAUUUAUUGGGCGUAAAGCGAGCGCAGGCGGUUUGAUAAGUCUGAAGUUAAAGGCUGUGGCUCAACCAUAGUUCGCUUUGGAAACUGUCAAACUUGAGUGCAGAAGGGGAGAGUGGAAUUCCAUGUGUAGCGGUGAAAUGCGUAGAUAUAUGGAGGAACACCGGUGGCGAAAGCGGCUCUCUGGUCUGUAACUGACGCUGAGGCUCGAAAGCGUGGGGAGCGAACAGG
rnacentral:rRNA from 1 species